AUCCCAUAGGAGUUGGUAUGUUGUGGCUGGGAAGAUGGUGGCAUAGGAUGACUCUUAACUCACCUGUUCCCAUGGACACAACAAAUUUACAACUACCCUUGGAACAAUUACCCCUAAGAAAGAACCGUCAACUGGAUUAAAAAACCCCUACAACGAGGGACAGUGCUGACUGAGGUGGAAGAAGCAUAAAUUCCUUCCUGGAGAGGAAAAAGCCACAGCACUUCAUGACUGGGAGCACACUUAGUUCUGUAUGUCAGAAGUUGGAAAAAUCAAGGUGUUGACAAGGUGUCAACAGAAGGAUCCACAGAAGAAUCCAGUUUCUUGCCUUUUCCAGCUUCUAAAGACUGCUCACAUUCCUUGGCUAGUGGCCAUAUUCAAAAACACGAAACCACCAGGAACACAGAUGCCAGGUUAUUCAGCUGAAAUAUUGCGGGUAAAUGGA